rnacentral:rRNA from 1 species
GGGGAUAACACUUGGAAACAGGUGCUAAUACCGCAUAAUAGUCGACACCGCAUGGUGUUGAUUUGAAAGACGCUUUCGGGUGUCACUGAUGGAUGGACCCGCGGUGCAUUAGCUAGUUGGUGAGGUAACGGCUCACCAAGGCGAUGAUGCAUAGCCGACCUGAGAGGGUGAUCGGCCACACUGGGACUGAGACACGGCCCAGACUCCUACGGGAGGCAGCAGUAGGGAAUCUUCGGCAAUGGACGAAAGUCUGACCGAGCAACGCCGCGUGAGUGAAGAAGGUUUUCGGAUCGUAAAACUCUGUUGUUAGAGAAGAAUAAGUAGGAGAGUAACUGCUCUUACCUUGACGGUAUCUAACCAGAAAGCCACGGCUAACUACGUGCCAGCAGCCGCGGUAAUACGUAGGUGGCAAGCGUUGUCCGGAUUUAUUGGGCGUAAAGCGAGCGCAGGCGGUUUCUUAAGUCUGAUGUGAAAGCCCCCGGCUCAACCGGGGAGGGUCAUUGGAAACUGGGAGACUUGAGUGCARAAGARGAGAGUGGAAUUCCAUGUGUAGCGGUGAAAUGCGUA